UGGGGAAUAUUGCACAAUGGGGGGAACCCUGAUGCAGCGACGCCGCGUGAGGGAAGAAGGUUUUCGGAUUGUAAACCUCUGUCCUUGGUGACGAUAAUGACGGUAGCCAAGGAGGAAGCCACGGCUAACUACGUGCCAGCAGCCGCGGUAAUACGUAGGUGGCAAGCGUUGUCCGGAAUUACUGGGUGUAAAGGGAGCGUAGGCGGGAAAGCAAGUUGGGAGUGAAAUGUAUGGGCUCAACCCAUAAACUGCUUUCAAAACUGUUUUUCUUGAGUGAAGUAGAGGCAGGCGGAAUUCCUAGUGUAGCGGUGAAAUGCGUAAAUAUUAGGAGGAACACCAGUGGCGAAGGCGGCCUGCUGGGCUUUAACUGACGCUGAGGCUCGAAAGCGUGGGUAGCAAACA
rnacentral:rRNA from 1 species